rnacentral:rRNA from 1 species
UAGGGAAUCUUCGGCAAUGGACGCAAGUCUGAUGGAGCAACGCCGCGUGAGUGAAGAAGGUCUUCGGAUCGUAAAACUCUGUUGUUAGAGAAGAACACGAGUGAGAGUAACUGUUCAUUCGAUGACGGUAUCUAACCAGCAAGUCACGGCUAACUACGUGCCAG